rnacentral:rRNA from 1 species
AUGGCCGAAUGCUUCCAUAGGGUGCUCAAAGGAGCACGUGGAUUACCCGUGACGGCAAUAGUUCAAUACACAUUUGACAAGAUGAAUGCGUACUUUCUAAAAUACUCGAUGGAAACGGAUGCACAGAUAGCGGGUGAGAACCCGCGCAAGUACAAGUACAAGUUCCCACCCAAGGUUGAUGAAUGGUUGGUAUUUCAAUCACGGAAGGCGGACUCAGAAGAAGCUAUAUUAUAUGACAAUGAAGAGUGGAAGUACGAAGUGAAAGAGCCAGGAGGAACCACAAACGAUGGCCGCCAACAUGGAGGUCGUGCUUUCGAGGUGUCGUUAACACAAUGUGAUUGCUCUUGCGGGAGGCCAUUGUUGCUUCAUCUUCCAUGCUCACACUUGUAUACCGCCGGUCGCGUUAGGAAUGUGGACAUCAAUCACCCAUGCACCGUGAGGGAGUCGGAGUUCUCAAUCAUGACGGUCAAGAAAACAUGGGCUCCCCGCUUUCACCCAUAUCUUGACUAAUCACAAUGGCCGGAGUACCAUGGUGUUCAACUAUGGCUGGAUCCGGAGUUGAAGGUUGUUAAACGGGGUAGACGUCAGACAAAGCGUCUUAGAGGCGACAUGGACGGAUGGGGCCAUGGUGGCUGCCGUGAAGCGGGCAACGACCAAUUCCAAGAGCCUCGUGAGAGCUCCCGUUGUGGGGAGUGCAAAGGUCAUGGCCACAACAAAAGAAAAUGUACGAAACCAAGGAAAAGGUCCAAGAAAAAUGAUGCAAGUACAAGCCAACAAGGAGCUACACAAGGAAGCCCACCAAGUGGUAGCCAACAAGUGCCAAGCCAACCAAGUGGUAGCCAACAAGUGCCAAGACAACCAAGUGGUAGCCAACAAGUGCCAAGCCAACCAAGUGUUAGCCAAAGAGGAUCUAGGCAACAAAGAGGUCGGCAACUAGGACUUACAAGAGGCCAUGGUGGUGGUAGAGCUCGUGGUGGUGGUGUAGGCCAUGGUGGUGGUAGAGCUCGUGGUGGUGGUCUUGGCCGUGGUGAUGGUCUUGGCCGUGGUGUGAAGGAAAUAUGCACUAGAGGCAAUAAUAAAGUUAUUAUUUAUUUCCUUAUUUCAUGA